CAGAGAGCAGGGCAAAUAGAAAGCUCUGAGAAUUUGGAGGAGUGAGUAGGCAGUGGCCUAUCUGUGAGGUUUAUUUUAUUGUAUAGAGAGGAACGGAGCCUUUAGAAAUCAAAAACAGGAAAAAAAUUGAGAGGCAGUAAAGCCUUUGUAAAGCUAGGGUACAAAAUGAAAACUUACUACAAAAGUUGCAAAGCAGGUUUGAACCAGGAGGCACAGCCCACAGCAUUAGGGACUGGCUGCAAAACACCAUUUGACUUGUUCAGAGGCAGGGUUUAUCUGCUGGAUAAUAGCUAGAUAAUUAAUGUUAGAAUGGUGCUGGAGAGUGUUUCUGCAAAUAUCGUUAGGGGUCUUUUAGUCACAUAUUGCAUUCGUGCAGGCUUUUACUUAACAUUGAGUUGAUUAUUUACUUAUUUAUUUUUCUGUAAAAUAUGUAAAGAUGCUUCCGCACUUCUUGGAGAGGAAAAGAAUUGUGACUAGUGCUAUUUUAAGCUUAAAGAAGCCUGCUACCAUAAGAAAAUCCUAAUAGAUAAUUGUGUCCCUGCACUUGCAGGUGUACCGAAGUCUGUUAACUCCCACCUGGGAAGCGGUUUUGGGUGCCCUACAGAAAAACAGAAGUCUGGCAUUGCUUCCUGUGAGAGCCGAAAGCCUGGAACUGGAGCCAAAGGUCCAUUCUGUCAGAGGAGUGUCCUCCAGGUGCAGUGUGUGGAAAUGAAGGAGGGGAACUGUCACCUCAGAAACCCUGCCUGGCCAGGCUGGGAUGCCCAGGCUUGUUGGACAGACAGUGGUAAGCAGCUCACUGCAGCCAGGACUCGUCUGUGGGACUCUGGCAUGUCUCUGGAGAGAGGGGGCUGGGCAGGAGCCUGUACACAGUCACAGUAGCUCUGAUCUAUUAUGGGCGACGGCUCACUGAACUGUCACAGCUCUAUGGCAACAGAGUGCAUGGCAUCCAUGUCUAAAGCAAACACACCGGC
ensembl:lncRNA